rnacentral:rRNA from 1 species
UACAGAGGUCUCAAGCGUUGUUCGGAUUCAUUGGGCGUAAAGGGUGCGUAGGCGGCGAGGCAAGUCUGGUGUGAAAUCCCGGGGCUCAACCCCGGAACUGCACUGGAUACUGCUUUGCUAGAGUACUGGAGAGGGAACUGGAAUUUACGGUGUAGCAGUGAAAUGCGUAGAUAUCGUAAGGAAGACCAGCGGCGAAGGCGAGUUCCUGGACAGUUACUGACGCUGAGGCACGAAGGCCAGGGAGCAAACGGG